CCUCAGGCACAUGGGGUGGCUCUUGGGCUGUCUUGUGCAGAGCCAGGAGUCUGAUCCUGAUAGGUCCUUCCAAAUCAGCAUUUCUACGGUCCUGUGACUGGCCCCAGUGUGAGAGGUGGAUGCAUUGCUGACAUGGGAAAGAAAGGCACAGACAGGAGAAGGAAGCAGGAGAGAGAUAAGAGCUGUUGGAGACUGGGAUGACAAUACUGGUGCUUGGAGGAAACUAAUCCUCUCUGUUUCAAUGAGCCUCGACCAUCUGGUAUUAAUUGAGAUGUUUGAACACCUCAUGAAAAACAGACUCAUGAAUCUGUUUUACAUAUCUGAAGUAUUUCCAAGCACAGUAAGUAGCAGUGGUUUUUGCUGCUAAAAUUGAAAAGCAGAAAAAAACACUGGUGAUUUUGGGGUGGUUUUUUGGGGGGUUUUGUUUGGUUGGUUUUUUGUGGGUUUGGAGGGGUUUUUAUAAUUGUUUUUUGUUUGUUUGUUUGGUUUUUCGUGUUUGCUUAUUUGCUUUGGGUUUUGUUUAUCUUUUAUUCUUAAAAAUCUAACAGCUUAUGUUAACUUCACCUUUUCUGCUCCAGGUCUGUCCUCCAUCUGAAGUUUCAAAAUGUAAGUCCAGUAUUCAUGUAGAUGCUCAGAAGGCAAGAGAAA
rnacentral:lncRNA from 1 species